rnacentral:rRNA from 1 species
GAUGAACGCUGGCGGCGUGCCUAAUACAUGCAAGUCGAGCGAACAGACGAGGAGCUUGCUCCUCUGACGUUAGCGGCGGACGGGUGAGUAACACGUGGAUAACCUACCUAUAAGACUGGGAUAACUUCGGGAAACCGGAGCUAAUACCGGAUAAUAUAUUGAACCGCAUGGUUCAAUAGUGAAAGACGGUUUUGCUGUCACUUAUAGAUGGAUCCGCGCCGCAUUAGCUAGUUGGUAAGGUAACGGCUUACCAAGGCAACGAUGCGUAGCCGACCUGAGAGGGUGAUCGGCCACACGGGAACUGAGACACGGUCCAGACUCCUACGGGAGGCAGCAGUAGGGAAUCUGCCGCAAUGGGCGAAAGCCUGACGGAGCAACGCCGCGUGAGUGAUGAAGGUCUUCGGAUCGUAAAACUCUGUUAUUAGGGAAGAACAAAUGUGUAAGUAACUAUGCACGUCUUGACGGUACCUAAGCAGAAAGCCACGGCAAACUACGU